rnacentral:rRNA from 1 species
AGGGUUUGAUCCUGGCUCAGAGUGAACGCUGGCGGCGUGGAUUAGGCAUGCAAGUCGAGCGAACCUUAUUAUUGAAGUAUGCUGAAAUCUUCGGAUCGAUGCGUACGGAUUUAAUCAGGUUAGCGGCAAACCGGUGAGUAACACGUGGGUAACGUACCUUAAGGAGGGGCAUAGCCUCGCGAAAGCGUGGGUAAUACCCCAUACCCCCUGAUACCUGAAAUGGUUCAGGGUAAAGAUGGCCUCUACUUGUAAGCUAUCGCCUUGAGAGCGACCCGCGUCCUAUCAGGUUGUUGGUAGGGUAACGGCCUACCAACCCGAAGACGGGUAGCUGGUCUGAGAGGAUGGUCAGCCACAUCGGGACUGAGACACUGCCCGGACUCCUACGGGAGGCUGCAGUCGAGAAUCUUUCCCAAUGGACGAAAGUCUGAGGAUGCGACGCCGCGUGGGGGAUGAAGGUUUUCGAAUUGUAAACCCCUUUUAUUGAGGAGCAAAAGUUGCCUUUUGAAUAAGGAGGCAAAAUUGACUGUACUCUAUGAAUAAGCCACGGCUAACUCCGUGCCAGCAGCCGCGGUAAUACGGAGGUGGCAAGCGUUACUCGGUUUGACUGGGUGUAAAGGGUCCGUAGGCGGCCAGGUAAGUGAAAGGUGAAAUCCUUCGGCUCAACCGGAGAAUGGCCUUUCAAACUGUUUGGCUUGAGGCUGGAAGAGGAAAGUGGAACUGCUAGUGUAAGGGUGAAAUCUGUGGAUAUUAGCAGGAAUGCCUGUGGUGUAGACGGCUUUCCGGUCCAGACCUGACGCUCAGGGACGAAAGCUAGGGGAGCGAACAGGAUUAGAUACCCUGGUAGUCUUAGCUGUAAACGAUGGGCACUAGGUGUCUGUCCGUAAGGAUGGGUGUCGUAGCUAACGCGUUAAGUGCCCCACCUGGGGACUACGGCCGCAAGGCUAAAACUCAAAGGAAUUGACGGGGACCCGCACAAGCGGUGGAACACGUGGUUUAAUUCGAUGCUACGCGAGGAACCUUACCAGGGUUUGACAUGCUGGAAGUAAUCGCCCGAAAGGGUGGGUGACCUGUAUCCAAUCAAGAACCAGCACAGGUGCUGCAUGGUUGUCGUCAGCUCGUGCCGUGAGGUGUUCCCUUAAGUGGGAGAACGAGCGCAACCCUCGCCUUUUGUUGCUAUUCCGGAGCUUGUCUUUGGAAGCACUCUAAAGGGACUGCCCGCGUUAAGUGGGAGGAAGGUGGGGACGACGUCAAAUCAGCAUGGCCCUUAUGUCCUGGGCUACACACGUGUUACAAUGCCUACUACAAUGGGGGGCCAAGUCGCAAGAUGGAGCAAAUCUCAAAAAAGUAGGCCCAGUUCGGAUUGAGGGCUGCAACUCGCCCUCAUGAAGCUGGAAUCGCUAGUAAUGGCGCAUCAGCAACGGCGCCGUGAAUACGUUCCCGGGUCUUGUACACACCGCCCGUCAAGCGCUGAAAGUGGGGGGCACCCGAAGCUUCAAUUAUUUGAAGUCACGGUGAAUUUCAUGAUUGGCGCUAAGUCGAAACAAGGUA